CCUAGUUGAUCCUACCAAUAGUCAUAUGCUUGUAUCAAAUAUUAAGCCAUCUAUGUGUAAGUAUGAAUUAAUUCAGACUGUGAAACUGUGAAUGGCUCAUUAAAUCAAUUAUAAUCGUUUGAUGGUAUCUACUACUCAGAUAACUGUAGUAAUUCUAGAGUUAAUACAUGCUACAAACCCUGACUUUUGGAAGGGAUGCAUUUAUUAGAUAAAAAGUCGAUGUGGGCUUGAUUUAUUAGUCUAAUGAUUCAUGAUAACUUGAUGGAUUGCAUAGCCUUUGUGCCGAUGAUGCAUCAUUUAAAAUUUUGCCCUAACAACUUUCGAUGGUAGGAUAGUGGCCUACUAUAGUGGUGACAAGUGAUGAAGAAUUAGCGUUCGAUUAGCACAUCUAAGGAAGGUAAUAGGUGUACAAAUUACCCAAUCUUAACAUGGGGAGGUAGUGAUAAUAAAUAACAAUACUGGGCUCUAUAAGUCUGGUAAUUGGAAUGAAUACAAUCUAAAUCCCUUAACAAAGAUCCAUUGUAGGGCAAGUUUGGUGCCAGUAGUCAUGGUAAUUCCAACUUCAAUAAUAUUUAAGUUGUUGUAGUUAAAAAGCUCGUGGUUGAAACUAAGAUUGGGUCAUCUGAUCUUUCUCAUAGUGAGCACCAGUUUACUUGUCCCUACUAACGACGAUGUGCUACUGGCUUUAACUAGUCGAGUUAUUCCUUCGAUGCUAUUAUUUUGAAGAAAUUAGAAUGCUCAAAGUAGGCCUAUGCUUCUAUACAUUAGCAUAAGAUAACAACAUAGGAUUUCGAUCCUAUUGUGUUGGUCUUCGGGAUCGUAGUGAUGAUUAACAAUGAUAAAAAAGGGCAUUCAUAUUUCAUAGUCAGAGGUGAAAUUCUUGGAUUUAUGAAAGAGGAACAACUACAAAAGCAUUAGCUAGGGAUGUUUUCAUUAAUCAAGAAUGAAUGUUUGAGGCUCCAAAACAAUCAGAUACCAUCCUAGUCUCAACAAUAAAUGAUGUUGACCAAUGAUUAAUGGAUAUUACUUGUAAGACUCCAUCGGCAUCUUAUGAGAAUUCAAAGUGUUUGGGUUUCAAGGGAAGUAUGAUCGCAAGGCUAAAACUUAAAGAAAUUUAUAGAAGGGCACAAUUAGGAGUGAAGCUUGUGGCUUAAUUUGACUUAACACAAGGAAACUUCUUAGUUCCAGGCAUAGUAAGGAUUGACAGACUAAGAACUCUUUCUUGAUUUUAUAGGUGGGGUUGCAUGGUUGUUCUUAGUUGGCAGAGCGAUUUAUCUAGUUUAUUUCAUUAAUGAAUGAAACCUCAGCCUACUAACUAGCUACACAAAGGUGAUCCUUCAUGGCUUGCUUUUUAGAGGGACUAUGGCCAUUUAGGCCAAGGAAGUUCAAGGCAAUAACAAGUCUGUGAUACCCUUAGAUGUUCUAGGCUACAUACAUGCUACAUUGAUUUAUUCAAUGAGUCUAUAGCCUUAGCUGACAAGCCCAGGUAAUCUUUAAAAUUUCAUCAUGAUGGGGAUAGAUCAUUGCAAUUGUUGGCCUUCAAUAAGGAUUUCUUAGUAAGCGCGAGUCAUCAGCUCAUGUUAACUAUGUCCCUACCUUUUGUACACACCACUUGUUACUCCUGUUAAUUAAAUGGUUUAAUGAAGUGAUUAGAUGGUCACAAUGUGGAGAGUUUGCUGCCCAUGACAUUGUGACAAGUCCACUGAAUUAUAUCAUUUAGAGGAAGGAAAAGUCAUAACAAGGUUUUUGUAGGUGAACCUGUAGAAG
rnacentral:rRNA from 1 species